rnacentral:rRNA from 1 species
UACGAAGGGGGCUAGCGUUGUUCGGAAUUACUGGGCGUAAAGCGCGCGCAGGCGGUUUUUCAAGUCAGUGGUGAAAGCCCGGAGCUCAACUCCGGAACUGCCAUUGGAACUGUAAAACUUGAGGACGAGAGAGGUGAGUGGAAUUCCCAGUGUAGAGGUGAAAUUCGUAGAUAUUGGGAAGAACACCGGUGGCGAAGGCGGCUCACUGGCUCGUUUCUGACGCUCAGGCGCGACAGCGUGGGGAUCAAACAGG